CCUGGCGGCACUAGCGCGGUGGUCCCACCUGACCCCAUGCCGAACUCAGAAGUGAAACGCCGUAGCGCCGAUGGUAGUGUGGGGUCUCCCCAUGCGAGAGUAUGGAACUGCCAGGC
rnacentral:rRNA from 1 species